UAAAGCUGUAUGCUUUGGAAGAAGCUUGUACGGUUUGGGAAGGGAUUUUAAUUGAUCAAAAUAUGAAUCUACUUCAAC
rnacentral:ncRNA from 1 species